rnacentral:lncRNA from 1 species
AGUGGCCACCGCCACCAUGCACCUAAGUUUGACCCCAAGGAGAUCAAAGUCGAAUUCCUAAGUUCACUGGUGCUGAAGUCAGUGCCACGUCUGCCCUGGCCCCCCAGAUUGGCCCCCUGGGUCUGUCUCCAGAAAAGGUUGCUGAUGACAUCACCAAGGCAACCAGGGACUAGAAGGUUCUGAGGACCACAGGGAAACCGACCAUUAGAACAGACAGGCCCAGGCGGAGGCCAUGCCAUCUGCCUCUGCUCUGAUUAUCAAAGCCCUCAAGGAACCACCAAGAAGCAGAAAGAAACAGAAAAAUAUUAGAGUGGAAAUAUCACUUGCGAUGAGAUUGUCAACAUUGCCAGACAGAUGCAGCACCGAUCUUUAGCCAGAGAACUCUCUGGAACCACUAGAGCUCCUAGGGACUGCCCAGUCUGCAAGCCACGGUGUCGAUGGCACCACCUCAUCAUGCCACGGAUGACCAUGAAAUGUGGAGUGCUGGCUA